UCAACUUUCGUUUCAAUGUUUAUAUUAUUUGUAAAUAAUAUUGUAAACCGAAUAGAAAUUUUCACUAGCUGUAGAGUUCCAUUUGGUGACACUAAAAUGUCUGUACCACUACAAGAAAAAUGAGUUUUGAUAGCAGUAGAGGAUAACAUUUUUUCGCUUUCUGCUAUGGUUGACAUACCUGUUAGUUUUAGAUAGCGUUUGUAUUUUUGGAAACACUAUGAUAGAGCGGCAUAAUUGGAAACGCUAUGAUAACAUAUGGAUUUAUAUAUAACACUUAUGUUUAAUAGCAAAACACAGUUAAAAACAUUAUGUUUGGUAUUUUAAAUCCCUAAAUCCUAAACAAGUUUUUAAACUCUAAACACAAACUUUUAAACUCUACUAUUUUAACAUCAUUUCUUAAAUUAAACUUCAAUUCUUAAAUAUAAACUCAAAAUUAAUAUAUUUCAAAAUUUCAUCUCAAAUCUAAAUCAAUACCCUAAACCUUUAACCCUCAAACUAUAUACUCAAUCCUUUAUUUUAAACUCCAAACAUUAAAUCUAAUCUUUUCAAACUUAAUACAUAAAAUAUCUUAUUUAUAAAUCAUAACAAUUAUUAAAUUUAUUUACAUAUAUAAUUUGCACUAAUUAUAUAUAAAUCUUAAAUUUAUUUACAUUUGUACUUUACAUACCCUUAACUCUAACUAAAAAUCUUAAAACUCUAAUAUUUUAUUAUUUAAUUUUAAAUUUAAAAUUUGAGAUUUAAUAAAAGUAUAAUUUCAAGUCUUAAAUCUGAACCCUACGCACUAUAUUCCAAAUCCUAAACUAUAUAUAUACCUAUAUAUAUAUAUAUACAUCAUGUCGUAAAUUAAUCGCAUACCCUAAACUCUAACUAAAAAUCAUAUAAGUCUAAUAUUUUUUAUUUAAUUUUAAAUAUAAUCAAAGUAUAAUCUCAAAUCUGAACCCUAAGCACUAUAUUCCAAACCCUACACUCCCUAAGUUUUACACCCUAAACUCUAAACUUCAUACUUAAACCACACAUCUAAAAAAAUCUACAUAUAAACAUAAAAUCUAAAUUUCAAACUUUUAAACUUUAUAGCAAAUAUACAGUUUAGUAUAAAUAUAACCUAAUUUUAUUUUCAACUUUUAAACUUUAUAAACUGUAAACUUGAAUUAUAAACUACAAAAUAUACUUGUGGUUAAACAUAUAAGUCAACUUUAUUAAACAUAUGAAUUAAAAAUUAUUAAAAGAAACCAUUACAGAAAAACAAAACAAAAAAAAAUCUCAUUGGCUAGUCAUUUUCGUCUGUUAGAUUGGAUUCAAUCCAAUGGACAAGAUCUUUCCCUUCUCAUUUUAUCAGUCUUAUUUCUCAUUGGAUGAUAAAUGUUGGUGAGGAUAACCAACUUUUAAUCUCUUCCAUUGAUAAAAUCUUAUCCAAUGGUGAGGAUAUCAAGAGCUUUUCUCUCUAUCUCUCCCAUCUCUCUCAACCUAUGUAUCUCUCAAUCCCAGUAGCUAUGUCUCUCAAGCUCUAUGUCUUUCCAUCUCUCUCAGUCGCCAUCUCUCGUAACCUCUAUGUCUCCAAAGGGGAAGAAGUAGUGGAUAACGAAGGAGUGGAGUCGGAGCUAUGCCGGAUUCUGUAGGCGGAGGAAGACGGUGGGACGAUGACAUGGGAAAGAGAAGUGGUGGUGUGAGAAGAUGAUGAAACGAGAAAGAGAAGUAGUGGAGGAUGGAGGAGGACAGCAGAUGGCGUAGCUAACAGCGUGGUUUGAAGCGUCGAUGUGAAGGAGUUCGUGAUGGUGGUUCAUAGAUCCGGUGAAGGAGGUGGCUGGUGUAAACAAACAGACUAGGUGGAGGCACGAGGAGUUAGGUUUCUUUUUAGGUUUAGCUUUUUAGGUUUAAAUUUUUGGUUUACAUUUAAACCAAUUUUCAUUUAUUUUUAUAUGUGAACCAGUUUUAAUUUAUGAAUAAUUUUUAAUUCAAUUUCAUUUAUAGUUUAAUUUUAA